AGUCGUAACAAGGUAUCCGUAGGUGAACCUGCGGAUGGAUCAUUACCAAAGGAUUUCCAUCCUAACGUAUUGUGAACUGUUUAGAAACACAGUCAGUGCCUACCGUUGGCUUGCAGUAGCUGUUUUUGUAGCCGUCAUUGGUUACUUUAGCGUUACCGUAAGCUUACAGUAGCCUACCGUAAGCUUGCAGUAGCGUUACUGUAGCCGUCAUUGGCUACCGUAGCCCUACAGUAACUUACAGUAGCCCUACAGUAGGUGCUGGCUGUACAAACAUAAACGUAUUAUCUCCUGAACUGAAGUCUACUUUAGUAAUAACAAACUAAAGACAACUUUUAGCAAUGGAUCUCUUGGCUCUC
rnacentral:misc_RNA from 1 species